rnacentral:misc_RNA from 1 species
GAAAUGCGAUAAGUAAUGUGAAUUGCAGAAUUCAGUGAAUCAUCGAAUCUUUGAACGCACCUUGCGCUCCUUGGUAUUCCUUGGAGCAUGCCUGUUUGAGUAUCAUGAAAUCUUCAAAGUAAAUCUUUUGUUAACUCAAUUGGUUUCUACUUUGGUAUUGGAGGUCUUUGCAGCUUCACACCUGCUCCUCUUUGUUCAUUAGCUGGAUCUCAGUGUUAUGCUUGGUUCCACUCGGCGUGAUAAGUUAUCUAUUGCUGAGGACACUGUAAAAGGUGGCCAAGGUAAAUGCAGAUGAACCGCUUCUAAUAGUCCACUGACUUGGACAAUACUUUUAUGAUCUGAUCUCAAAUCAGGUAGGACUACCCGCUGAACUUAAGC